rnacentral:rRNA from 1 species
CCUACGGGGGGCAGCCGUGGGGAAUAUUGCGCAAUGGGCGAAAGCUUGACCCAGCAACGCAGCGUGAAGGAAGAAGGCUUUCGGGUUGUAAACUUCUUUUCUCAGGGACGAAGAAAGUGACGGUACCUGAGUAAUAAGCCACGGCUAACUACGUGCCAGCCGCCGCGGGAAUACGUAGGUGGAAAGCGUUAUACGGAUUUACUGGGUGUAAAGGCCGUGUAGGCGGGACUGCAAGUUAGAUGUGAAAACCACGGGGUCAACCUGUGGCCUGCAUUUGAAACUGUAGUACUUGAGUACGGUAGAGGCAGACGGAAUGCCUAGUGUAGCGGUGAAAUGCGUAGAUAUUAGGAGGAACACCAGUGGCGAAGGCAGUCUGCUGGACAGCUACUGACGCUGAGGCGCGAAAGCGUGGGGAGCAAACAGGAUUAGAUACCCGGGUAGUC